AUGGGCAUCCAGGGAGGUCUUGCCAUGACCCUCCCACCCCCCCAGAGCCACGAUGAGAGCGGCGGGGACUCCACGGACCUGGAGGAUGCCAGCAGACUGUGGCCCACGUUCGCAGCCCUCUUCCUCCUCACUCUGCUCUACAGCGGCUUUGUCACCUUCAUCAAGAACCAGCUACAAGAGCUGAGGAACACCUGGCCCUCAGGACCCCAUGGAGGGACUGGAGCAGCCUCCACCACGGCCCCAUCGGUUUUCCCACUGGCCCCCAGCUGCGGGACCACAUCUGGCUCCACAGUGGCCCUGGCCUGCCUGGUGUCCAGCUACUUCCCCGAGCCUGUGACUGUGUCCUGGAACUCCGGCUCCUUGACCAGUGGUGUGCACACCUUCCCGUCCGUCCUGCAGUCCUCAGGGCUCUACUCUCUCAGCAGCAUGGUGACAGUGCCCUCCAGCAGGUGGCCCAGUGACACCUUCACCUGCACUGUGGCCCACCCGGCCAGUAAGACCAAGGUGGACAAGAAAGUAAUGCCCAAACCAAAUGGCGUUGGCCCCUGUAAGGAAUGUCCCAAAUGUCCAGUCCCUGACACGUUGGGAGGACCUUCGGUCUUCAUCUUCCCCCCAAAACCCAAGGACACCCUCUCCAUUACCGGAACCCCCGAAGUCACAUGCGUGGUGGUGGACCUGGAAGACCCUGAGGUCCAGAUCAGCUGGUUCGUGGGUGACCAGGAGGUGCACACAGCCAAUACGAAGAAGCCUGAGGAGCAGUUCAACAGCACUUACCGUGUGGUCAGUGUCCUCCCCAUCGUGCACCAGGACUGGCUCAAGGGGAAGGAGUUCAAGUGCAAGGUCAACAACAAAGCCCUCCCAUCCCCCAUCCAGAGGACCAUCUCCAAGGCCAGAGGGCAGGCCCAUCAGCCCAAUGUGUACGUCCUGCCCCCAUCCCGGGACGAGAUGAACAAGAACACAGUCAGCGUGACCUGCCUGGUCAAAGACUUCUACCCAUCUGAGGUUGAUGUCGAGUGGCAGAGCAAUGGCCAGCAGAUGCCAGAAAGCAGUAUCCGAACAACCCCACCCCAGCUGGAUGCAGAUGGGACCUACUUCAUCUACAGCAAGCUCUCAGUGGACAAGAACCAAUGGCAGCGCGGAGAGGUUGUCACGUGUGUGGUCAUGCAUGAAGCUCUACACAACCACCACACACAGAAAUCCAUCUCCCAGUCUCCGGAGCUGCUCCUGGACGACAGCUGUGCCGAGGACCAGGAUGGGGAGCUGGACGGGCUGUGGACCACCAUCUCCAUCUUCAUCACCCUCUUCCUGCUCAGCGUGUGCUACAGCGCCACUGUGACCCUCUUCAAGGUGAAGUGGAUCUUCUCCUCGGUGGUGGAGCUGAAGCGCACGAUCGUGCCCGACUAUAGGAACAUGAUCGGGCAGGGGGCCUAG